CCUACGGGCGGCAGCAGUGGGGAAUAUUGCACAAUGGGGGAAACUCUGAUGCAGCGAUGCCGCGUGAGUGAAGAAGUCACUAGUUAUGUAAAGCUCUAUCAGCAGGGAAGUAAAUGACGGUACCUGAGUACGAAGCACCGGCUAACUACGUGCCAGCAGCCGCGGUUAUACGUAGGGGGCAAGCGUUAUCCGGAUUUACUGGGUGUAAAGGGGGCGUAGACGGCGGUGCAAGUCUGGAGUGAAAGGCGGGGGCUCAACCCGCGGACUGCUCUGGAUACUGUACGGCUGGAGUGCAGGUGAGGUAAGUGGAAUUCCUGGUGUAGCGGUGAAAUGCGUAGAGAUUAGGCAGAACACCAGUGGCGAAGGCAGCUUACUGGACUGUAACUGACGUUGAGGCUCGAAAGCGUGGGGAGCAAACAGGAUUAGAUACCCUAGUAGUC
rnacentral:rRNA from 1 species